GGGAACGCGGGAACGCGCGCUGAGCUGGGCGCCUGCGCAAAGGAGAGCACGCCCCAAACAGACGCCUGCGCAGAGGGAGGGGGCAUGCCGCCCGCACGCCUGCGCAGAAACAGGCGCGCCCCGCCCGUAGUUGAGAAUGGGCCCCCCUCUUCCUCUGCCCCGCCCCCUGCCCGCCAUUUCGUGCUCCGGCGCCUUUCCUGGGCCGAUGUGCGCGGCCUCCGUGUGAUGGACGCCCGGAAGCCGGUACAACGAAGUCCGUAGUGUUGAGGCUGUGCGGGCUGCAGGUUCUGCCGCUGCUCGCGGCGCCCGAGAACGGGGGGAGGUGGGCACUGUGUCGCCUCCGGGAUGGGUCUGCGGGCCAGCCGCUGCGUGCACAGCCUGGUGUGUGCUGAGCCCUGGCGCAUGCCCUUCUCCUGUGUGUCCGAGUUCAGUAGCCUGCACUCUACUCACCUGUACACACUGUCGUCUUUGCCCUCUUCGGAGUGUAGGAACUCAUGGGAUUCUACUUACCGUGUAUGUGCAGCACUUGCAUGCCUAGUGCUUGUGGAGGCUUGAAGAAGACAUCAAAUCCCUUGGAACUGGAGUUACAGAUGUUUGUGGUCACUAUGUGGGUGCCGGGCAUCCGAAUGUGGGUCCUCUGUACAAGUAACUGUACAGACAGGCCUAAACUGCUGAGCCAUCUCCAUCCCUGAUUCCCCCUUUUCCUUUUUUUUAAAAAAAUACGUUUAUU